rnacentral:rRNA from 1 species
AGGUAAAGGCUCACCUAGGCGACGAUCCGUAGCUGGUCUGAGAGGACGACCAGCCACACUGGAACUGAGACACGGUCCAGACUCCUACGGGAGGCAGCAGUGGGGAAUUUUGGACAAUGGGCGCAAGCCUGAUCCAGCCAUGCCGCGUGAGUGAAGAAGGCCUUCGGGUUGUAAAGCUCUUUCAGCCGGAAAGAAAACGCACGGGUUAAUAACCUGUGUGGAUGACGGUACCGGAAGAAGAAGCACCGGCUAACUACGUGCCAGCAGCCGCGGUAAUACGUAGGGUGCGAGCGUUAAUCGGAAUUACUGGGCGUAAAGCGUGCGCAGGCGGUUUUGUAAGACAGAUGUGAAAUCCCCGGGGCUUAACCUGGGAACUGCAUUUGUAACUGCAAGGCUAGAGUACGGCAGAGGGGGGUAGAAUUCCACGUGUAGCAGUGAAAUGCGUAGAUAUGUGGAGGAAUACCGAUGGCGAAGGCAGCCCCCCUGGGUCGAUACUGACGCUCAUGCACGAAAGCGUGGGGAGCA